UACGAAGGGGGCUAGCGUUGCUCGGAAUCACUGGGCGUAAAGGGCGUGUAGGUGGCCAACUAAGUCCGACGUGAAAUCCCCAGGCUUAACCUGGGAACUGCGUCUGAUACUGGAUGGCUUGAGUUCGGGAGAGGGAUGCGGAAUUCCAGGUGUAGCGGUGAAAUGCGUAGAUAUCUGGAGGAACACCGGUGGCGAAGGCGGCAUCCUGGACCGACACUGACACUGAGGAGCGAAAGCCAGGGGAGCAAACGGG
rnacentral:rRNA from 1 species